ACGGGUCCCCAUUGGGUGGCCGAGGCAAGGAGGGGAAAAUGGCGGCGUGAGAGGAAGAAGUGAAGCAAGAGCCGCGGGCUGCGGCCCGAUGGCCUCAGCUGAGCCACCAAAAUGGGUUAGAAUGAAGAAAGAGAGAUGGGCAUGAAGGGGCAUCAAAUAUCUUUUUCUUUCAAGAGCAGCUGAAAAUGCAGUCCAUACAUAAACCAUCUUGAUUGCCAGUUGGAACAAGAAAAUUGCUUUACCAGAAAACUAAAGAUGUUCUACAUGAUGAUUUGUGCAGCCAUAAAACAAACAGGAAUAUAGUCUUGUGGUUUGAGUAAGGCUCAAGAAAUUGCAGUACUCUAAGACAACAAUAAGACCAUUCAGGUUGAUCCAGCCAAGGUGGAUCUUGAAGCCCCACCAGUUCAUGAAAGGACUUACACGAUGAAAGAAAUCAUCUCCAUGAAGGAAAACGAAGAAUCCCAGUUCUGUUUCUGGUCCAGCUCCUUCAACAUUUGACAUGUGAAGCCUGUAUUAUAGCAAAGGUGUAUUUCCAACCCUUGCCAAAUAACAUAAAUGACUAGCUGACAUUUCACAGAAAAUGUCAACUUCAGUACCUCUUUGCUCAAGAGUUUCUGUAGUCUUGAAGAGAUUGUGCAUGCCAGUACGGGCAAGAGCCAGUACUGAUUGGUAUUUACCCCUUUUCAAAAUGCCUACAGCCCACUCUCUAAAUAACCCUUGGAAAAUCUAGCAAACUGAUAAGUCUCUUCAAAAUGUUGCAAAAGUUUAACACGGAAGGUUGUGGGAGGAUAAGCUGGGUGUGUGUGUGUGUGUUACCUAAAGUGAGGAACAACUAUUUUUCUUAAAACGCUCUGAGAAAACCCUAGCUGGGUUUUUUUAGCCCAUAAAGGUGACGAAUUUAUAGAUAACCAUCUUAGUGCUAUUGUGUAGAGCAGCUUGUGCAGAGAAACUGAUUGGCAUUUUGUCUGCUAUGUUUGAGUGCAUCCUUUGUUUUAAAAGAAACCCUAUAGAUCUGCAUGUAUAUAUCUACAGAUUUGAUGGAACAGAGAUGUUGCUGUGAGCUGUUCCUAUUCUGACAAAUUCCUUCACAAGGUGAAGCUCUGAAUUUAAAGUAUGUGCAAGCAAGCUAAGGGGCAUAUAAGUGGCAUUCCCAGUCAUCCCUAGACAAUUUAGCAGCAAAAGGAACAACAGCUUUCUCUAGUUCAAGCUUCUACCCAAAGGGAACAAAUGAGAAAGUAUAAAAAUAUAUGUGAAUUUUCCCACCAUUCAGAUGAACAAAGGCUAGGCAUGCUCAGGAAGGGCUUAUUCACUGCUUCCUUUGAUGUCUCCACUGGAGAUAAGGUGGAAGUUCUGAUUCUAACAUGUUUACACAGGAUUCUUUUUAUUUUGCUGUGUGUGACUUUUACAGGACAUUUUGCUUUAGCAUAGGAUAAUAGGGAAUUGCCACAGUUGGUGGCUACCUGGUGUAAAAGUCUGAACCUGGAGUCCUCAAUAGUGCACCUUAAGUUCAGUCUUAUUAAAUGUGAAUUUAGAAUAGGAUUGCCAAAUUAAAACUCCUUGAUCUAGGUUAAAAUGGUGGUAUGUAUUCUAAUGACUCUCAUCAUUAGUUAACAGAAUUUUCAGCACUAUCUGUCAUUUACUGAUAGUAAGUAUAUUAUUUUCUGGGAUGGACAGCCGUGGCUGAUGAGACAGCAUAUUUUCCUUUAAGAAUAGUUGAAUAAACGGACAUUGCUGUUAACGAAACAUUGGUAAAUGGGGUCAUCCAUAGGCAUUGUGUACGAUUUCUAUAAAGUAGAAAUGCAAGGGAAUUCUUCUGAACUUAGUUCAGUUGUUUUCCUUUAUCAGGCUGAGAAAAAAUGUUGGAAUAGAACAUUGUAAAACAGCAGAACAUAAGUUGGCUUUCCUGCUGACUACUUCUGCAAAAAAUAAUGAUCAUUGAGAGAUAAUUAUCUAUCAUUUUUUUGGAAAUAUUUUGGAAUCCAAAUUAAAAAUUAUUAAGUAAUUGAGUAUCAUUUUAUAAUAAUCUUACCAGGAAAUCUUGUUGAAUUCAGUGGGGUUUUAGGUGCAUGGUCUGUUUUGAAUUGGUGUGAAAACAAUUCUGUGCAGCCUGGAUACUGAAAAUUUAAAAGCAUCCAGUAUGGUGGUGACUUGUUGAGCAUCCUGCAGUCUUCACAUUGUUGUCUUAACAUCAUAAAUUUUUUUUUCUAAUAUGUGCUGUCACUGGCAGAAAUUUAUCAAUAUGUUUCAUCACAAUGUCAGUUUGGAAUGAAUACAACGGAAGGUCCAAAUUGGUAAUCCAAAACUUCAGUAAAAGAAUCCUCCCUUCCUCCCCCCCUUUCCCCUCUAGGCCCUUUUCUAAUAAUAAAACUUUCUGUGCACAAUAGGGCUAUAUUAAUACUGAAGCUGAAGACUCAGAAAAAAAACCUCUGUUCAUGCCCAGGAAACCCCACUGCAGUACUUGUCCUGUAGCAUCUUCUUAAUUGUACUGUGCAAAGGCAAUACUGCCUUAAUCUCUUGGUUUAAUAUUUUGGUCUGCAUCUGUUUCUCCAUGUCGGCAGGAAACUUUUCCACAUGAAAGAUUAAACAAAUAUGGGCAUGUGCAAUAGUAUAAUAUAUAUAUACAUAUAAAUAUAUUUUAAUACUUGUGGACAAAAAGUUACAAGUUGUUUGAGAACAACAAAAUCACCAAUGUCUUCCAUUUUGAGAUGUGUAUAGUUCCAUAAGCAUUAGUGCUUUGUAGCGAAACUGUAGUGCCAUGUUAGAAUCAGUGCAUGAGCCUUGUAGUACUUUUUUUACAAUUUCAGAGUGACAAAUAAACAACACUGGUGAUUUAACUAAUAAGAAACAGACAAGAUUAUGUUCAUGAUCUAAAGAUGCAGUGUCUUUUCUAGGCAGUGGUAACAGAAGCUAUGCUAUAAAACAGUAACGUGAGUUUGAAAUUAUGUGGAAAUUGUACUUGCGAGCAGCCAUGUACAUUUUAGUGACAUUUAAGUGUGGAUAAAAUCCAGACUAUAGUGACACAAUCUUUAACAAAGGCCUUUCUUUGUGAGCAAUACCCACUUGCUUUAAUGGACAAAUCCACUGAUCACUGAUGCUUUAAAAGUUCCACUUAUCAGAGUAAGUUGAUCAGUAAUCACUCAUACUAUGUGUUCUGGUAACGAAUUCCUUUGUAUAUUUGGUCAAAUGCUGUAUUUUCCCAUUCAGGAUGGGCUCCUGUACUUUGAGACAAUUUCCCAUUGGCUGCAUGUGUGUCCUAACAUCCCGUUUUAGGAGCAUCAAUGUAACUGUUGAUCGAGAAUUAACUGUUGUAAAAUUAAUUACAUUAGAACAGGUAGAGCUACUGGUUCAGUUUAAAAUUCAAAAUUUCAGUGGUGCCAUCCAUUACUAACAGCAGUGCUUGUAUAAAUUUGCAGAUGUUGUUUUUGUUCCUAGUUGCCUCUCUUUUUCUUGGAAAUGUAGCUCCAAGUAGAUAACUUCUGCCUACUAUCCUCUUGCCUUGAUUUAAUUGUUCUAAGUCAUAAAUGGGAUUAUGUAAAGAUCUGUUGUUCAGGGCUGCCAUGCUUCUCUCAACUUUUUAAAGUUGUGCUUCUGGCUUAAAGAAGAUACUGCAUCUUUUUCUUGGUCUUGUCUGUAAAUGGCCACCUUGGGGGGUGGGGGUGGGGAUAAAUUUCUCUUUCUGAGUUGAUUACCUAAAAAUCCAUAAACAGGAAAUUAUUAACUGUAAUGCAAGGGAUCCUAGAAAAGUUACCUUUACUUUUAAAGGUCUCUGCUGUUGUCACAUAAAAAUUGGAAGGUGAGUCGUUUACAGAUGAGCUGUAGGGACCUGUGCUUAGUCAAGGUUCUGUUGUGAACAAAUAUAUCUGUACCAUUGAAUUAAGUAGUUUUAGUGUUUGGAAGAAUUAAUUGAUGGAAAAAUACCUCUGAAACUGGAAUGCAAAAUAGCACAGUAUGUAGGGGGAAGAAUCCCUGAUGCAAAUAAAGCCAUACAAUGACUUAAUAAUAGAAUUUCAGUAGCAAUAACCAUUUGCAUGUAAUAGGAAUUAACUUGCAUUAGCAAGAACUGUACAGUAGAAUAAAUGGUAUCAACCAAA